rnacentral:rRNA from 1 species
UACGUAGGGUGCAAGCGUUGUCCGGAAUUAUUGGGCGUAAAGAGCUCGUAGGCGGUCUGUCGCGUCGGCUGUGAAAUCCCGAGGCUCAACCUCGGGUCUGCAGUCGAUACGGGCAAACUGGAGUGUUGCAGGGGAGACCGGAAUUCCUGGUGUAGCGGUGAAAUGCGCAGAUAUCAGGAGGAACACCGGUGGCGAAGGCGGGUCUCUGGGCAACAACUGACGCUGAGGAGCGAAAGCGUGGGGAGCGAACAGG